UGGGGAAUAUUGCACAAUGGGCGCAAGCCUGAUGCAGCCAUGCCGCGUGUAUGAAGAAGGCCUUCGGGUUGUAAAGUACUUUCAGCGGGGAGGAAGGCGAUAAGGUUAAUAACCUUGUCGAUUGACGUUACUCGCAGAAGAAGCACCGGCUAACUCCGUGCCAGCAGCCGCGGUAAUACGGAGGGUGCAAGCGUUAAUCGGAAUUACUGGGCGUAAAGCGCACGCAGGCGGUCUGUCAAGUCGGAUGUGAAAUCCCCGGGCUCAACCUGGGAACUGCAUUCGAAACUGGCAGGCUAGAGUCUUGUAGAGGGGGGUAGAAUUCCAGGUGUAGCGGUGAAAUGCGUAGAGAUCUGGAGGAAUACCGGUGGCGAAGGCGGCCCCCUGGACAAAGACUGACGCUCAGGUGCGAAAGCGUGGGGAGCAAACA
rnacentral:rRNA from 1 species